UGUCAUGGCGGCUGUGCGUGGGGCGCCUUCGGGUGCGCCGGGUAAUGCUCCUAGAUCCCCGGUUGACCAAUCCACGUACAGUCGCCACCCAA
rnacentral:antisense_RNA from 1 species